GCUCAGCAGACGACGUAGUUCUUGUGCUCUUCCCGCCUCGCCUUUCUUUUCUUGGUUUCAAUCCCUGGUGUUGCAAGCCAAUUCCCGGGUCUUGUUAGGCGGGAAACACAGACUGCAUUACCCAUGUUUGAAACUGGAUUUGCGCGUUUGGGAAGCAAGAAUGGGGUUACUCUGCUGGAAAAGCUUGACAUUGCAAAUAAGGGAUUUUUACCCUACGGUUCCACAAGUUCCCACUAAGUAUCUGGUACGCGGAAGAGAGGGACAAGGAAGCACAGAAGCUCAGAACAGUUCGUUGUUCACCUCGUCUUUCUACCACAUAAUUCUGCCUCUAGAAAUACAGGAGAAAGAGUAGCCACGCAAAGCUUCUAGGAACUCCUGGGAGAAGCAUUCAUAAACUCUUAUUGCUGCCAGUUCAUCUUGGGGCCUUUCGGUGUGAAGAAAUGGAUCCUUAUCAAAUACUUUUGUGAAAGAACAUUUACAUCCUGCUUUAUUCCAGAAGAAAAGAUUUAAGUCACUUUGGUUACACAGGGAAAACCUGGAAGAGGGGAGAUACAGAAGAACCCAUACCUGCAUGGCCUGAAGACAGGCUAAAAGACUGAUGGGAGCUUGCGACCCUACAGAGUUGGAAUCGCUCUGCGCUCACAGGCCUGGGAGCUUAGUGCCCAGUGGCCAGGGACCCCCCUAGGAUUCCUUUGUGGAUCAAAGGCAAAGAAAGAAGGGCUUCUGAAGGCCUGGCACAGCUACAAGGAUUCUCCUGACAGUAUGGCACAUCUGUCUAGCACGUUUCGGGGAAGCCUUUCCCAACGGUGUCAUGAGGCUGGCAGGGUGGGCAUUCUGUCCAUCAGCGAGGAGCAGAUGGAGAGCCAAAGAGGAUGAGUGAAUUGCCGACGCGCACGCCUGGUUCAGGAUCAGCAUCCAGGUCUCCUCAUUAAGUCCAAUGAGCUUUCAGCUCUGUCAUGCUGCCUCUUCUUCCCCAGAGGGCUUGGGAAACAUAAGCAACUGCCUACAGGAAAUAUGCUUCACCUUCCUCACAGACACGGCGUUCCAGAACCAGACUCCAUGGAAACAGAACACAGAGGGUGUGUACAUGCAUGUCUUCUAGACCCACUCCAGUUCUCAUCAGAAGCUGAUGAGCCACCCCACAGUUCACGGCGGGUCAAACCUAAUCCGUAUCCUCUUCAAAAUAGGCCAGAAAAAUGGAAUCACUGGAUAUCAGAAGAGAAAGGGAACCACAGAGUCUUGCUAGUCUAAUGCCUUUAUUUUAAGGAUGAAGAAAUAGCCUUUUGUUUUGUUUUUCAGAUUUAUUGAGAUAUAAUGUACAAAGUGGUAAGAUACUUAAAGUUACAACAUGAUUUUGAAACAACCUUGCCUUGUGAAAGGACUCCCCCAUCAUGUUAAUUACCCUGAUAAUCACUUCACAUAUUUACCUUUGUGUGUGUAUGUUUGAGAAUAUUUAAGUUCUACUCUCUCAGCAAAUUUAGUUUUUUAAAGAUUUUACAUAUAAGUGAUACUAU
rnacentral:lncRNA from 1 species